rnacentral:piRNA from 1 species
UAGCAUGUAAUCAAUACGACA